CGCUGAGGUUAAGCCCUUGUUCUAAAGAUUUGU
rnacentral:rRNA from 1 species